AACGCGAAGAACCUUACCAAGGUUUGACAUACAGGGAAAAGCCGUAGAGAUAUGGUGUCCGUAAGGGUCCUGUACAGGUGGUGCAUGGCUGUCGUCAGUUCGUGUCGUGAGAUGUUGGGUUAAGUCCCGCAACGAGCGUAACCCUCGUCCUAUGUUGCCAGCGGGUAAUGCCGGGGACUCAUGGGAGACUGCCGGGGUCAACUCGGAGGAAGGUGGGGAUGAGGUCAAGUCAUCAUGCCCCUUAUGCCUUGGGCUGCAAACAUGCUACAAUGGCCGGUACAGAGGGCUGCGAGACCGCAAGGUGGAGCGAAUCUCAAAAAGCCGGUCUCAGUUCGGAUUGGGGUCUGCAACUCGACCCCAUGAAGUCGGAGUCGCUAGUAAUCGCGAAUCAGCAACGUCGCGGUGAAUACGUUCCCGGGCCUUGUA
rnacentral:rRNA from 1 species